GCAGAGAAAGAUUCUCUUCAUUUUUUGUCUAAGGAUGUCCAUAAGAUAUUUCUAUGAAUACUUAUACUGUCUGCAGUUCUUUCAUUUUUAAUAUUCUUCCUAUAGAGAGUGGGACCUAUAUUACUGAAGACUAGACUGAAGAUUCAAGUAUCAGUUACAGCAGAAAGGCAAAAGCAAAUUAACAAGAAUUCAUCCACUAGCAAGAAAUCUGACCUGAAUACUAGCUUACAACUGCUUUUCCAUCCUGUCUGGAGGCCUAAUGAGGAUGGAUAUACCCAAUUUCAUAGAAAGAAGACAGAAACAAGAGGAACAGCUGAGUUGCAUUGCCUCGUUUACUAUUCCAACUCUCAAAUAACAUCAUUCAGUGCAACUGAUUUUAGCUAAAGCACCAUCCAAAACAACUAGGCACAUAGACCAAUCAUCUCACUGAGUUAGAACCAUCAUCACUUUCGAAACUCACUUAAGCCCUUAGGAGCUACACACAAGAAGAGACCACACUUUGGAUGCCAGCUGGAUGUUUGGCACAAUACAGUAAAUAUCCAGAACUGC